UGCACUGUGCCUGAUAAGCAGCCAUGAAAGAACAACAAGCUGCAAGAGAGAACAUCUUUGAAAUGCAACCUCACUCCACCUCCCACCAAGGCCAGACUCCUCCUAUAAAAGAUUACCCUCAUCCCCUGAGAGGCACAACUUCUCUGACCUCUGUGGGGGUCAGUGAACUUUACUGGGGCGCAAUAAACUUUUUGCCUGUGAGAAAUUUAGCCUGGUUUUCCUUUUCUUUACCGUACCAACCCUUUCAUCUUGGUGCUGAACCCGGGGAAAGCUGCGUCCCCUGGCGCUGAGGCCACUUUCCCGUCCCAAGGACCUCUCCUCUACAUUGCAGAUGCCUCACAUCCACCACCGACCUUGAUUCCUGGGGGUCACUGGAAAAGCGACUGUCCCUCCGUGCCUGGCUGUGGUGGGCUAGUCCUUCCGGCCCCUGUGACCCUGCCACCGGCGGUCUUGGGUUUGGCAGCUGAGGACUGAAGAGGCCUGGACUCAUGGACCCUGAUAACUUUCGGGGAGCCCAGGGUAAUGGUCAAAGUAGCAGGAGGACGCUGACACAAACACACCUCAGCAACUCACCUGGACAGUCCUGCCUCAAGGUUUUAGAGACAGCCCUCACCUCUCAGGACAGGCCCUCGCCAUGGAUCUAGCAGCCUGUGAUCUCAGUCCUGGCACUCUCCUCCAUUCAUCCAAGCCGCAUUCGAGAGAUGACUCACACCACCUUCAACCAACUACACCCUACUCAAGCCUCCCCACCAGUGAGCCAGGCCAUUGACCUUGUUUUUUGACCUCUCUUCCUCACAUUGCUCCACAUCAGCAGGAAGUAGCCAGAAAGAAUCCUUCACCCUUUAUCCUAUAACUAAAAGGUCAGAAUGUAAGGUCAUCGAUGAGGCAGAGGGAAGAACUUGAAACUGAGACCACCUGCAUCCCGGCAACCUGCAUCCUGGGAGUUGGCUCUACCUGGUUUGCACUGUGCCUGAUAAGCAGCCAUGAAAGAACAAGCGGCAAGAGAGAACAACUUUGUAAAGCAACCUUACUCCACCUCCCACCAAGGCCAGACUCCGUCCUAUAAAAGAUUACCCUGUGAGAAAUUUAGCCUGGCUUUCCUUUUCUUUACUGUACCAACCCUUUCAAUUGUUAUAAGGCAGGGAGAGGGGCAGCCCAGAGCCCGCAAACCUGCCUGCUUUAGAUAAGUUCUGCCAUCUGCCGCAUCAACACAGAACAUGUAAGAUUUUAAUGGGAAGGAACUUUAAUACAAUUAGUAAACAAUACAGGAAAGGCGAAGAAUAUAGUUUCUAAAUUAAGCAUCCAAAGUUACCCAUCCCCUCUUGGGUAAAACUCUACCCAAAUGGAAUUGGCCCAGAGCAAGGCCCCAAAGCCUGCCACAAGUCUAAAGCUACUUCUAGUGGGGACGCACAGAAAAGGGUCAGAAAUAGCCAGACAAGUCUUCUAGGAAAAGAGCAAAAUCAAAAUCAAGAUAAAAGCUGCCAUUGUCACCUCCCCACGGGUGUCUCACCCACAUCUGUGUCCAGUCCACAACCAAGAAGCAAGCACAGUUUCUUCAUGUGUCUCUUGGCUCCAUGUGCCUGCUCAAGUUCUCCUUCCGGCUCCAUCCUGCUUCCUUCCUUCUUCAGCUCUUGAGUUAAAUUCCAAACCUCGGAUUUCUAGUGAGAGUCCAGGAACAAACAAUUUACAAAAUAAGCUCUUAAUCUGUCUCUUCUCCUGUACACCUCAUGGUUCACAAAAAUAAUUAAAGUCGGGCCUCCCUGGUGGCACAAGGGGGUAAGCACCGCACUAUGAAGCAAUCCGCACCCAAUGCAGCAUGAGUUUGAUCCCCGGCCGGCCAGAGAGGAACCCACAUGGCACAGCAGACCUUGCCCGCUGCUCCCCUCAGCAGUGUAUUUCAGUUGAUCUGCCUGCUCUGUUCCCCACUCUGUCUCUGGUGAAUCUUCUCCCCCCCCCACCCCCGCAUCUCUGGUCUGUACCCCAGCUCUUGUAUGCAUAAAUAAAGAAAUCUUUAAAAAAAAAGUUAAAGCCAACAAGUCACUCUUAAAAAUACGAAUUUGAGAUAUGUUUUAUCUAAAGGAAUUGGUAAAUACAGCUUGUAAAUUUAAUCAAUAAAAAUGUCUCAGUGUUUUCACAGACAGAAUAACUACUUCUUGGGUCUCCCUGGUGGUGCAAGGAUUAAAGACAGCUGUCGGGACUAUUGCCAGCCUCUGCAGUGCAAGUUGUAUCCACAGCUGGCCAGGGUACAGCCAACCUCUCCUGCCUACAUGCUGCUCUCCUCUGUUUCAGUAGAUCUUCUUGUUCUGCUCCCCACUCUGUCUCUGGUGAAUCCUCUCACCUGCCAUACUUCUGGCCUGUACCCCAGUUCUUGUAUACAUAAAUAAAUAAAUCUUUUUUAAAAAAUAAAAAUAACUACUACUUAAAACUAAUACACAUGGCCAAAGUUUUAAAAUGAGAAUCAAAAAGUGUGUCUCUC